rnacentral:rRNA from 1 species
GACGAACGCUGGCGGCGUGCUUAACACAUGCAAGUCGAACGGAAAGGCCCUGCGUUUGUGGGGUUCUCGUGUGGCGAACGGGUGUGUAACACGUGAGUAACCUGCCCUUAACUUUGGGAUAACUCCACGAAACUGGGGCUAAUACAGGAUAGGAGCUCCUGCUGCAUGGGGGGGGUUGGAAAGUUUCGGCGGUGGUGGAUGGACUCGCGGGUUAUGCGCUUGUUUGGGGAGUAGGGGCUUACCAGGGUUUUGACGGGUAGCCGGCCUGGGAGGGUGACCGGCCACCUUGGGCCUGCGAUACGGACCAGACUCCUACGGGCCGCAGCAGUCGGGAGUCUUGCGCAGUGGGCGGAAGUCUGUUACGGCAACGUCGCGAGCGUGAUGCCGGCCUUCGGGUUGUGAACCGCUUUCGACUGAGCCGAAGCGUGAGUGACGGUACUUGAUAAAGAAGCACCGGCUAACUACGUG